UACGGGAGGCAGCAGUAGGGAAUCUUCCACAAUGGACGCAAGUCUGAUGGAGCAACGCCGCGUGAGUGAAGAAGGGUUUCGGCUCGUAAAGCUCUGUUGUUAAAGAAGAACGUGGGUAAGAGUAACUGUUUACCCAGUGACGGUAUUUAACCAGAAAGCCACGGCUAACUACGUGCCAGCAGCCGCGGUAAUACGUAGGUGGCAAGCGUUAUCCGGAUUUAUUGGGCGUAAAGCGAGCGCAGGCGGUCUUUUAAGUCUAAUGUGAAAGCCUUCGGCUCAACCGAAGAAGUGCAUUGGAAACUGGGAGACUUGAGUGCAGAAGAGGACAGUGGAACUCCAUGUGUAGCGGUGAAAUGCGUAGAUAUAUGGAAGAACACCAGUGGCGAAGGCGGCUGUCUGGUCUGCAACUGACGCUGAGGCUCGAAAGCAUGGGUAGCGAACAGGAUUAGAUACCCUGGUAGUCCAUGCCGUAAACGAUGAUUACUAAGUGUUGGAGGGUUUCCGCCCUUCAGUGCUGCAGCUAACGCAUUAAGUAAUCCGCCUGGGGAGUACGACCGCAAGGUUGAAACUCAAAAGAAUUGACGGGGGCCCGCACAAGCGGUGGAGCAUGUGGUUUAAUUCGAAGCUACGCGAAGAACCUUACCAGGUCUUGACAUCUUCUGACAGUCUAAGAGAUUAGAGGUUCCCUUCGGGGACAGAAUGACAGGUGGUGCAUGGUUGUCGUCAGCUCGUGUCGUGAGAUGUUGGGUUAAGUCCCGCAACGAGCGCAACCCUUAUUACUAGUUGCCAGCAUUAAGUUGGGCACUCUAGUGAGACUGCCGGUGACAAACCGGAGGAAGGUGGGGACGACGUCAAAUCAUCAUGCCCCUUAUGACCUGGGCUACACACGUGCUACAAUGGAUGGUACAACGAGUCGCGAGACCGCGAGGUUAAGCUAAUCUCUUAAAACCAUUCUCAGUUCGGACUGUAGGCUGCAACUCGCCUACACGAAGUCGGAAUCGCUAGUAAUCGCGGAUCAGCAUGCCGCGGUGAAUACGUUCCCGGGCCUUGUACACACCGCCCGUCACACCAUGAGAGUUUGUAACACCCAAAGCCGGUGGGGUAACCUUUUAGGAGCUAG
rnacentral:rRNA from 1 species